GAUGAACGCUAGCGACAGGCUUAACACAUGCAAGUCGAGGGGCAGCAUAAAAGUAGCAAUACUUUGGUGGCGACCGGCGCACGGGUGAGUAACGCGUAUGCAACCUACCUAUCAGAGGGGAAUAACCCGGCGAAAGUCGGACUAAUACCGCAUAAAACAGGGGCACCGCAUGGUGAUAUUGGUUAAAGAAAUUCGCUGAUAGAUGGGCAUGCGUUCCAUUAGGUAGUUGGUGGGGUAACGGCUCACCAAGCCGACGAUGGAUAGGGGAACUGAGGGGUUGGUCCCCCACACUGGUACUGAGAUACGGACCAGACUCCUACGGGAGGCAGCAGUAAGGAAUAUUGGUCAAUGGGCGAGAGCCUGAACCAGCCAAGUCGCGUGAAGGAAGAAGGAUCUAUGGUUCGUAAACUUCUUUUGCAGGGGAAUAAAGUGCGGGACGUGUCCUGUUUUGUAUGUACCCUGAGAAUAAGGAUCGGCUAACUCCGUGCCAGCAGCCGCCGCAG
rnacentral:rRNA from 1 species